rnacentral:tRNA from 2 species
GGAAAGGUGCAAGAGUGGUUGAAUUGGCACGCCUGGAAAGCGUGUGUACCAGCAAUGGUACCGCGGGUUCGAAUCCCGCCCUUUCCG